ACAUGCAGUCGAGCGGUAGCACAGAGAGCUUGCUCUCGGGUGACGAGCGGCGGACGGGUGAGUAAUGUCUGGGAAACUGCCUGAUGGAGGGGGAUAACUACUGGAAACGGUAGCUAAUACCGCAUAACGUCGCAAGACCAAAGUGGGGGACCUUCGGGCCUCAUGCCAUCAGAUGUGCCCAGAUGGGAUUAGCUGGUAGGUGGGGUAACGGCUCACCUAGGCGACGAUCCCUAGCUGGUCUGAGAGGAUGACCAGCCACACUGGAACUGAGACACGGUCCAGACUCCUACGGGAGGCAGCAGUGGGGAAUAUUGCACAAUGGGCGCAAGCCUGAUGCAGCCAUGCCGCGUGUGUGAAGAAGGCCUUCGGGUUGUAAAGCACUUUCAGCGGGGAGGAAGGCGGUGAGGUUAAUAACCUCAUCGAUUGACGUUACCCGCAGAAGAAGCACCGGCUAACUCCGUGCCAGCAGCCGCGGUAAUACGGAGGGUGCAAGCGUUAAUCGGAAUUACUGGGCGUAAAGCGCACGCAGGCGGUCUGUCAAGUCGGAUGUGAAAUCCCCGGGCUCAACCUGGGAACUGCAUUCGAAACUGGCAGGCUAGAGUCUUGUAGAGGGGGGUAGAAUUCCAGGUGUAGCGGUGAAAUGCGUAGAGAUCUGGAGGAAUACCGGUGGCGAAGGCGGCCCCCUGGACAAAGACUGACGCUCAGGUGCGAAAGCGUGGGGAGCAAACAGGAUUAGAUACCCUGGUAGUCCACGCUGUAAACGAUGUCGAUUUGGAGGUUGUGCCCUUGAGGCGUGGCUUCCGGAGCUAACGCGUUAAAUCGACCGCCUGGGGAGUACGGCCGCAAGGUUAAAACUCAAAUGAAUUGACGGGGGCCCGCACAAGCGGUGGAGCAUGUGGUUUAAUUCGAUGCAACGCGAAGAACCUUACCUGGUCUUGACAUCCACAGAACUUUCCAGAGAUGGAUUGGUGCCUUCGGGAACUGUGAGACAGGUGCUGCAUGGCUGUCGUCAGCUCGUGUUGUGAAAUGUUGGGUUAAGUCCCGCAACGAGCGCAACCCUUAUCCUUUGUUGCCAGCGGUUAGGCCGGGAACUCAAAGGAGACUGCCAGUGAUAAACUGGAGGAAGGUGGGGAUGACGUCAAGUCAUCAUGGCCCUUACGACCAGGGCUACACACGUGCUACAAUGGCAUAUACAAAGAGAAGCGACCUCGCGAGAGCAAGCGGACCUCAUAAAGUAUGUCGUAGUCCGGAUUGGAGUCUGCAACUCGACUCCAUGAAGUCGGAAUCGCUAGUAAUCGUAGAUCAGAAUGCUACGGUGAAUACGUUCCCGGGCCUUGUACACACCGCCCGUCACACCAUGGGAGUGGGUUGCAAAAGAAGUAGGUAGCUUAACCUUCGGGAGGG
rnacentral:rRNA from 1 species